GGGCAAGACCGGUGCCAGCCGCCGCGGUAAUACCGGCGGCUCGAGUGGUGGCCACUUUUAUUGGGUUUAAAGCGUUGGUAGCUGGGUUGUUAAGUCUCUUGGGAAAUCUGACGGCUCAACCGUCAGGCGUCUAAGGGAUACUGGCAAUCUUGGAACCGGGAGAGGUGAGGGGUACUUCGGGGGUAGGAGUGAAAUCCUGUAAUCCCCGAGGGACCACCAGUGGCGAAGGCGUCUCACCAGAACGGUUUUGACAGUAAGGGACGAAGGCUAGGGGCGCAAACCGGAUUAGAUACCCGGGUAGUCCCAGCCGUAAACGAUGCGCGUUAGGCGUAUGGGCGUCCUCGAGUCACGUAGGUGCCGAAGGGAAGCCGUGAAACGUGCCACCUGGGAAGUACGGCCGCAAGAUUGAAACUUAAAGGAAUUGGCGGGGGAGCACCACAAGGGGUGAAGCUUGCGGUUUAAUUGGAUUCAACGCCGGAAAUCUCACCGGGAGCGACAG
rnacentral:rRNA from 1 species